AGCUGAGUGGCGCAGCGGAAGCGCGGUGAGUUUCCUUCUGUUAUUGCUGUCUGUCUUGCAAUUACUGAUAUCCUUCACAGCCGGGCUCAUAACCCGGAGGUCCCUGGAUCGAAACCAGGCUUAGCUA